UUCUCUUCCUUCUGUCUCCGUUUUCUUCUCUCUGUCUGUUUCCAUCUAUGGCCAUGAAGUCGUGAAUUCGUCGUCACCGUCGUCAAGUAGAUAUUGCAGCCGCCGUCGUCGAGUCUAGAUCUUGCAGCCUUUAUCCAGGCCUUGAAGUCUUCGUUGUCGAUCCUAGAUCUCCUCCUCCCACGCAAGCAAAGGUGAACGGCCAUGGUGGUCCAGGCCAAAGAUGAAGCCUACCUCGAGGCUGUCCUUCCCAAACGCAUCGAACUCUUUGAGUCCAUCCAGGCAGAACAACGUGCUGCUCGACAGUCUCUCCCCUCUUUCGAUCCUAUCAGGAUUACAUUGUCGGACGGGAAGGUGAAGGAGGGCAAGAAGUGGAUAACUUCCCCAUUUGAAAUUGCAAGUGAGAUUUCAAAGAGUUUGGCUUCCAACGCGUUGAUUUCUGAGGUCAAUGGGGUUCUAUGGGACAUGAACAGGCCUUUGGAGGGCGAUGCUGAGCUGAGGCUCUUCACAUUGGACUCAUUCGACAACAAUGAGGAUGUACGCCACACUUUCUGGCAUUCUAGCUCCCACAUUCUUGGACAGGCACUUGAGGUUGAGUAUGGAUGUAAACUCUGCAUUGGUCCGUGUGCUAGAAUUGAAACAAGACACGAUAUGUGUGCCACUAGCAAAGAGGGUUUCUACUAUGAUGCAUUUUAUGGAGAUUUUGGCUUGAAUGAUGAACACUUUAAGCAAAUCGAAUCAUGGACAGAGAAGGCUGUUAAGGGGAAACAACCUUUUGAACGCAUUGAAGUAUCAAGGGAACAAGCCCUUGAGAUGUUUUGUGAUAAUAAAUUCAAGGUUGAAAUCAUCAAUGGCCUUCCAGCGGACAAAACUAUAACUGUAUAUAGAUGUGGCCCUUUGGUUGACUUGUGUCGUGGACCACAUAUACCAAAUACAUCAUUUGUCAAAGCAUUUAAAUGUUUGAAGGCUUCUGCAGCCUACUGGAGGGGUAACAAAGAUCGUGAAAGUUUGCAGAGAGUUUANUGGAAUAUCUUAUCCUGAUAAAAAACGUUUGCAGCAACAUAUCCAGAGGCUUGAAGAAGCAAAAAAAUAUGACCACAGAGUGUUGGGUCAAAAGCAGGAGCUUUUCUUUUUCGACCCAGUUAGCCCAGGAAGUUGCUUCUUCCUCCCUAAAGGGGCUCGGAUUUAUAAUAAAUUAAUGGAGUUCAUAAAGAAUCAGUAUAGAGAGAGGGGAUAUGAAGAGGUUAUAUCACCAAACUUGUACAAUAUGAAACUCUGGGAAACAUCUGGUCAUGCCGAAAAAUACAAAGACAAUAUGUUUUCGGUGGAGAUUGAGAAACAGCAGUUUGGUUUAAAGCCCAUGAACUGCCCAGGGCACUGUGUAAUGUUUCAGCAUAGGAACCGUUCUUAUAGAGAACUACCUCUACGAAUGGCUGACUUUGGGGUGUUACAUCGGAAUGAGGCCAGUGGUGCACUCACUGGAUUAACACGUGUCAGGAGAUUCCAGCAGGAUGACGCUCAUAUCUUCUGCAGGGAGUCCCAAGUGAAAGAUGAAGUGAGGGGUGUCUUAGAGUUUAUCGAGUAUACCUAUAAUAUAUUUGGCUUCACUUUUAAACUGAAACUUUCAACAAUGCCAGAAAGCCACAUGGGAGACUUGGCAACAUGGAAGAAGGCUGAGGCUGCUCUUAAAGAAGCUUUAAUUGAGUUCGGCAAGCCCUGGGAGGUGAAUGAAGGGGAUGGUGCAUUUUAUGGACCGAAGAUAGAUAUCACUGUAUCUGAUGCAUUGAGCAGAGAUCAUCAGUUGGCAACAUUACAGCUUGAUUUUCAACUUCCCGACCGCUUUAAGCUGUAUUACUCAGCAGAGGGUGAAGACGGCAAGAUGGAGAGGCCUGUUAUGAUACACAGAGCUGUUUUAGGUUCUGUUGAGCGUAUGCUUGCUGUACUGUUGGAACACUACAAAGGGAAAUGGCCCUUCUGGCUUAGUCCACGUCAGGCAAUUGUUUGCCCUGUGUCGCACACAGCCCUGCCUUAUGCUCUACAGGUACGUGAUCGUAUCCAUCAAGCUGGUUAUUAUGUCGAUGUUGACACAAGUGAUAAAACAAUUCAGAAAAAGGUACGACAAGCUCAGAUCGCACAGUACAACUACAUUUUAGUUGUGGGUGGGGAGGAAGUUCAAAAUGGGCAGGUUAGCGUAAGGGUUAGAGAUAAGGGUGAUGUGACAGUAAUGAGCAUGGAGAGCCUACUACAACACUUCAAGGACCAAGUUGAAGCUUUCCAUUAGGAUUCCCUUCAUUUUAUUAUUUAUUUUUGGCGUGAUGCUCUGAUCUGAAUUUUAACACCUUCCAGCAUCAUUUCAUUUUUUCUUGGGAGUGAUGGGUGAUUUGGUGAAUUUUUUUUGGUCCAAAGUAAUUUGAUGAUCAAACACCGAUGGAUUGUUUAUUUAAUUAAAAUUAAGUAAACAAUCAAAGUCCUCAAACUUCCAAAUGAAUCAUAGUAGACUUUUCCGUUUCAA